rnacentral:rRNA from 1 species
UUAAUUUUUAUUUAUUUAUUUAUUUAGAUUUUAAUUUAAGAUAUUAAAAAUAAUUAUAUAAUUUAAAGUUUUAGUAUUUUAUAAAGAAAAAAUAAUUUUUAUUAUAGUAUAUUAGUAUUGUGAAAGAAAAUUGAAAUAUUUGAAAAAUUAUUAUUUAAAAAGAAAAUUUAAUUUAUUGUACCUUGUGUAUCAGGGUUUAUUAAAUAGAUAUUAUAUAUUAUAAUUUUCUCGAUUUUAAAAGAGUUAAUAUAUUAUUGAAGUUAAUGUGAUAAAAUUAUUUUUGAUAAUAUAUUGGAAAUGAAAUGUUAUUCGUUUUUAAAGGUAUCUAGUUUUUUAAGAAAUAAAUUUAAUUUAGAAGUUUUAUAUUAUUUAAUUAGUUGUUUAAUUAAAUGAAUAUUUAAUUUUAAUAUUUUAUGGGAUAAGCUAUAAAAUAAAGUUUUAAAAAUUAAUAAAUUGUUAUAUAAAUAUAAGCUUAGAAAUAGUUAUUAUUAAUAAGUAUGUUAUAAUUUAUUUUAUAAGUAUAAUAUUUAUUUUAUUUUAAGUUUUUAUUAAAAUAUUCAUUUUAAUUUAUAAAAUGAAUUAAUAAUGAUAAAAUUAGUAUAUAAUUAUGUAAUAAUAAUUUAAUUUGGAAAGUUUUUAUAAAGAAUUCGGCAAAAUAAUGUUCGCCUGUUUAACAAAAACAUGUCUUUUUGUGUAUAUAAAAAGUCUGACCUGCCCACUGAAUAAUUAAAUGGCUGCAGUAUAUUAACUGUGCAAAGGUAGCAUAAUCAUUAGUCUUUUAAUUGAAGGCUGGUAUGAAUGGUUGGACGAAAUAUUAACUGUUUCAUAAAAAUUUAUAGUAGAAUUUUAUUUUUUAGUAAAAAAGCUAAAAUAAAAUUAAAAGACGAGAAGACCCUAUAAAUCUUUAUAUUUAAGUUAUUUUAAAAUUGUAGAUUUUUUAAUUUUAUGGUAAUAAUAAUAUUUUAUUGGGGUGAUAUUAAAAUUUAAUAAACUUUUAAUUUUUAAAAUCAUUAAUUUAUGAAUAAUUGAUCCGUUUUUAACGAUUAUAAAUUUAAGUUACUUUAGGGAUAACAGCGUAAUUUUUUUUGAGAGUUCUUAUCGAUAAAAAGGAUUGCGACCUCGAUGUUGGAUUAAGAUAUAAUUUUAGGUGUAGAAGCUUAAAUUUUAAGUCUGUUCGACUUUUAGAUUCUUACAUGAUCUGAGUUCAAACCGGUGUAAGCCAGGUUGGUUUCUAUCUUUAAUUCAUUAAAAUAUUCUAGUACGAAAGGACCUAAUAUUUGAUAAAUAGUUAUUUUUAUAUUGAAUAUUAUUAAUGU